AACGAACGCUGGCGGCGUGCUUAAUACAUGCAAGUCGAACGAGAAUUCCGGCUUCGGUCGGAUAGUAAAGUGGCGAACGGGUGCGUAACACGUGGAUAAUCUUCCCUCAAAUCCGGGAUAAUCUUCCGAAAGGAGGUCUAAUACCGGAUGACACUUUCGGCUGACAUCAGCUGAUAUUCAAAGACGGAGCAAUCUGUCGUUUGAGGAUGAGUCCGCGCCCCAUUAGCUGGUUGGUAGGGUAAUGGCCUACCAAGGCGACGAUGGGUAGCCGGCCUGAGAGGGCGACCGGCCACACUGGGACUGAGAUACGGCCCAGACUCCUACGGGAGGCAGCAGUAAGGAAUAUUGCGCAAUGGACGAAAGUCUGACGCAGCAACGCCGCGUGGAUGAUGAAGAUUCUUGGAUCGUAAAACCCUUUCGGUGGGGAAGAAAAGUAUGGCGAGUAACUGCGUCGUGCCUGACGGUACCCACAGAAGAAGUCUCGGCUAACUCCGUGCCAGCA
rnacentral:rRNA from 1 species